ensembl:ncRNA lncRNA:TS18 long noncoding RNA: testis-specific 18
GUGUGUGCGAGUCUCAGAAAUCAUAAGCCACACUCACACAGGACGAAAACAACAACAGCAGCAAGGACACCUGGCCUGGGGCAUUGGAGUAGACUUCAGCAUGAUUUUCAACAUUCUACGCAAGAUUUUCGUAGCCCGAAGAAUUUUUGGCAGGCGAUGGGAUUAUGUCACAUGCCUGGGCAGCAAUUCGGAUAGACAGAGACGACGAUACCAGAGGUGCGAGCGUGACAAAGCUACAGCUUGCCGCAUAGCCCAAAUGGCUAAGACCAUUUUCCCAGGCCAAAAUUCGCAUUACACCUAUUCGUGCCAUUUUAAUUUCGUUGCCCUCUGCUGGUUUUCGCAUGCAAAUAAGUCGAAAUGAGAGGCUCCGCCCGUAUGUGUGUGUGUGUGUGUGUGUGUGCUUGUGUGAGUGAGUGUGUGUGUUGUUGUGUGCACCUAAUUGAGCUUAGACUGCCGGAAUUCCACUUACACUUGUCUCAUAUUUCCAGCCAUGCAAAGUGCAGCAAAACUAUUGUUGCAGUCACAAACUGCAUGUGGAAAUAGACGACGAGGGACGAGAACUUAUUUACGCCGCUUAAUUAGUAGGAAGCGGUACACUCAGCCGAUUUUAUACCAAAGACGACUCAGCAAUAUAUAUGAACCUUGUAGAGGCAUCACCUAAUACACUUUUAAUUAAUAUAAUGGUAAAAAGUUUUUUUCAUUAGAUUAUUCCUU